GUGCUCACCACAGCAGCACAUAUACUAAGACGACAAUAAUACAAAGAAAGAUUACCAUGACCCCUGUUCAAGGAUGACACACAAACCAUCAAGCAUUCGAUAUGGUUUU